GGGGAUUUAGCUCAGUGGUUUAAGUGCUUGUCUGCCAAGCAUGAGGUUGUUAAGUUCAAUCCCCA
rnacentral:tRNA from 1 species